rnacentral:rRNA from 1 species
UACGGGGGGUGCGAGCGUUGUCCGGAAUCACUGGGCGUAAAGGGCGCGUAGGCGGUUUUUUAAGUGAGGCGUGAAAGCCCUGGGCUUAACCCAGGAGGUGCGUUUCAUACUGGAAGACUUGAGUGCGAGAGAGGAAAGUGGAAUUCCUAGUGUAGAGGUGAAAUUCGUAGAUAUUAGGAAGAACACCUGUGGCGAAGGCGGCUUUCUGGCUCGCAACUGACGCUGACGCGCGAAAGCGUGGGGAGCAAACAGG